rnacentral:rRNA from 1 species
UACGGAGGGGGCUAGCGUUGUUCGGAAUUACUGGGCGUAAAGCGCACGUAGGCGGCUAUUCAAGUCAGAGGUGAAAGCCUGGAGCUUAACUCCAGAACUGCCUUUGAAACUAGAUAGCUAGAAUCAUGGAGAGGUGAGUGGAAUUCCGAGUGUAGAGGUGAAAUUCGUAGAUAUUCGGAAGAACACCAGUGGCGAAGGCGGCUCACUGGACAUGUAUUGACGCUGAGGUGCGAAAGCGUGGGGAGCAAACAGG